UUCCGGUUGAUCCUGCCGGAGGUCACUGCUAUGGGAUUCGACUAAGCCAUGCGAGUCGAGAGGGUUCGGCCCUCGGCUGACGGCUCAGUAACACGUGGAUAAUCUGCCUUUAGGUGGAGAAUAAUCUCGGGAAACUGAGGAUAAUACUCCAUAGAUCUAGGAUGCUGGAAUGCAUUUAGAUUGAAAGCUCCGGCGCCUAAGGAUGAGUCUGCGGACUAUCAGGUUGUAGUCAGGGUAAAGACCUGACUAGCCUACGACGGAUACGGGUUGUGAGAGCAAUAACCCGGAGACGAUAUCUGAGACACGAUAUCGGGCCCUACGGGGCGCAGCAGGCGCGAAAACUUCACACUGUGCGAAAGCGCGAUGAGGGAAUCCCAAGUGUUUGCUCGUAAGAGUAAACUGUUUCUUUGUUUAAAACGCAGAGAGAGUAAGGGCUGGGUAAGACGGGUGCCAGCCGCCGCGGUAAUACCUGCAGCUCAAGUGGUGAUCAUUAUUAUUGGGCCUAAAACGUCCGUAGCCGGUUUAGUAAAUGCCUGGGUAAAUCGUGUAGCUUAACUAUACGACUUCCGGGUAGACUGCUAAACUUGAGACCGGGAGAGGCUAGAGGUACUCCUGGGGUAGAGGUGAAAUUCUGUAAUCCUAGGGGGACCACCAGUGGCGAAGGCGUCUAGCUAGAACGGGUCUGACGGUGAGGGACGAAGCCCUGGGGCGCAAACCGGAUUAGAUACCCGGGUAGUCCAGGGUGUAAACGCUGCUUGCUUGAUGUUAGUUGGGCUCCGAGCCCAACUAGUGUCGGAGAGAAGUUGUUAAGCAAGCUGCCUGGGGAGUACGGUCGCAAGGCUGAAACUUAAAGGAAUUGGCGGGGGAGCACAGCAACGGGUGGAGCGUGCGGUUUAAUUGGAUUCAACGCCGGG
rnacentral:rRNA from 1 species